rnacentral:rRNA from 1 species
CCCUUAGAUGUCCUGGGCCGCACGCGCGCUACACUGAGUGUCUGAGAUACGAGUCUGCCUAGCCGGCGAGGUCUAGGUAAUCGCUGAAAGACACAUCAUGCUUGGGAUAGAUUAUUGCAGAUAUUAAUCUUGAACGAGGAAUUCCUAGUAAACGCAAGUCAUCAGCUUGCAUUGAUUACGUCCCUGCCCUUUGUACACACCGCCCGUCGCACCUACCGAUUGAAUGGUCCGGUGAAAUCUUCGGAUUGAGACUUUGAUUUCUUCACGGAAAACGCUGUUUUAAAAAGUUGAUUAAACCUUACCAUUUAGAGGAAGGUGAAGUCGUAACA